UUUCGGGGCGGUGAUGCUGACGGCCGUAGCUGUGUGGCUUUGGCAGCGACGGCGGCAUGGAGGCCAGGAAGGCGGCUUCGGAGGUUCACUCACCAACCUGCAGACUGCUGAGAUGGCGGAGUAUCAGAAACAUUCAAUUUAAUAAUGCAACGUGCUGUUAAGAACUGAAAAUAUUCAGGAUCGAACAGGCGACAAACCGCGAUAACCACUCAGAUUGGGCAAAAUAGGAAAAGCAAGACGCGGCGUGCGCAAAAUUCAACGAGCACCUAACGAAUUUCGAGAGCGCUAUGGCGAACCCUAUGGUGCAGGAAGAGCGCGCGUAUAUGCGGUCAGCUGUAGGAGCGAGCAGCCCGACUAUGGUUUCGCUUUAUCGCGUGCUGUCACAAAGGUCGCUCCAGUUCCGUUGGGCCAAUCUUGUGCUAAGGUUCUGGAACUCAGUUGUCAAGAGGCCAGGGACACUGUGCCACCUUGCCUUCAUUGCCGACCUUGAGCUGGCUCUGGGGGGUGUUGCUGAGUGCUGGACGAGGAGCAAGGUCCCAGCUUUCCUUAAGUUUGGGAGCUGAGCCCCCAGCCGGUCUGCAUGGUGACGCCCCCAUAGCGCAUUACGUUACCGUUAGGUUGCCAGUGGGAAGCAGCACACUUGAAGAGUUCGCUAGGCGUCUCGACGCCCGGUGGGAGUGCCCGGAUACCCUAGGUGAUCCACGCACCUUUCCAAGUGGAAGUACUGGCGUCAAGGCAUGUCGCUAUCUGAACUGGAUGGGGUUGUCCCCGCUUAGGGGCACACGGCAUGAGUGACUGGCCCACGCUGAAAUCGCCAUGUCCCAAUGUUUGUAUCAAAUGCUUAUGUGUUUCCGGUUAGGCUGUUGGGAGUUAAGAGAUUGACCGACCAAACUGCCGUGAGCGCACAGCGCACACCUGCAGGCUCUGUGAUUGCGGGGCGGUUGAAGACGAAAUGCAUGUCUUUGUGAAAUGCCCGGCGUACACAAGUAUGCAGGCUAAGUACGAACGUGACCUUCACGUCACCUUCAAGGGUGCAACAUGCGCACGAUUAUGACCGAGGCUCCACCCCAGGCGCUAGCCAGGUUCCUCUCGGAAGUCUGGGAGACCCGGCACGUUGCUCUAAGGCUCUUCGUGCUCAAGCGGACGAGGGACGACAAUGAUGGUCCAGAUGGUCCACCACGUAACCGCACUAAAAGGGAUUUACCGUCCAUGGCCCCCCCGGCUUUUAUGGACACCCCCGCACUUGUGCGGAACUUGUAACUUGUAGCAGAGCACCUAGCAUCCGGACCAAGUACACGCUUAUGACCAGAUGUUUUGCACACGGCCUAGUUGGCCCGUAUGCAGAAGAGCGCGUCGAGAUCCGUAGUUCGGCUGACCCAGUGGUCCAUAAAUGUCGGCCUAUCCCACGUGCGGGUGAUCAUCCGGUAUCCAGCCUAGGUCCGUUGCGGGUCGCGGUUUGCAGCGGUGGUACUUCUGCGUACAACGUGCUCCCUAAUAAGCCUAGCACGCUUGCGUUUGGUCCCAAAUAUAUUGAAAUUGGUACUCAUUGCAUGCUCAGCUUCCUCUUAAAUGGGCAUAAUCAUUGUGUAGUUCUUGGAACGGGAAAAUAUUUCAGUGAUUUAUCCUAUUGCUUGCGUACGUGCGUUUGGUGCUUGCGAGUCGAGAUCGAUCGAUCGCCAUUGUGCUACCCUAUGGACCUUACAAAGUUAAGGACCGAACCAGAGAACACAGUGUCAAUUCUUGAUAAUCUUUGGUAGUAUAUGUGUCAGUGGGUAGCGGAAGUGCGUCCCACCUUAGCGGAAUUCACUCAUACUUGGCCUCCCCACCGCGCCCAAAGGCGGGAGGUGGGCAGUGUUGACAUUCGGCCAGAAUACUGGUACUUGGGACGAAUGUACGACAGAUAGAUGCGAUGUUUGCUAUAAAGGAAAUGAUGUUUCUAUCGAGAGUAUGUUCUGUGAUACCUGUAACGGUUAAGGUUGGCUUUACCUACACAGUUCCAUUCGCCUAUAUCUUAACAGGUUAUGAGCCCCGCGCCGCCGCAGCAAGCGAGCGAGCGUUUUGCUUGAGUACUGUGUCCGAAUUUGCUGGCUUAGCAAUUCUCUGGCUUGAGAUAGGACAAGUAUGGGGAAGGACUAUGAUAUCGAGCGCCUCGACAACUACGCCAAUUAUUUUCGCUGGCGGCAUGAAGUACUGCCUGGCCGGCAAAGACCUAUGGAACGAAGCAGCAGACCUGCCGAGCGCCAUCGUCGAGAAAUCCAUGAAGGCGAAAUCCCAAAUGGUGAGAUACACGGUGCCACGCUUUCAUAGACUGAUCGACCAAGCAGCCGACUCUGGGAUGCAAUCCGCGCUGAAUGCGUAUCUGAGAUAGGAGCCAACAUCCUGUUUAUCAAACAAAAAUUCAGCAAUCUCAAGCAACGGACAUGCCAGUCCACUAUUGACUCCUUAGAGGAAGCGGAGGAUCUGCGCGAACAGAUGGUUGCAGUGGACUCGGAAAUUGACGACAGCCAAUUCGCCCUGGCCAUCUUGGCCGGCUUUCACAAGCGGUUUCAAAUGCAGCAGAUGCUCUUUACUGCCAAGUCAUUGAGCAAACUUAAACUUUCAAAAAUGAGGAGCGGAUGCAAGGUGAUAGCAACGCAGAGUGAGCCCAGGUCGAGGCCCUGGAGUUUAACAACCGGAGCAGUGCGGGAGGCUACCGUGGCAGAGUGGGUAGAGGCCAAAGUAACGUCAACAUCGGGGUGGGUAGCAGCUCCAGCGGGCCUGAGGUUUCGCUCAACCCUUACACAAGCCACAAGUGCCACAAAUGUGGCGUUCUUGGGCACAUCAAGUCCCAGUGUCCACUCAUCACAAAGGGCAACAACAAGGGCGGCAACAGAUGCAGCAAGCAGUUGGUGAUGGCCCUAGCCACCUCCACCACCUCUGAAGCCGAAGAGAUCAGGUCUGCGCUGAAAAGUCGCUUGCCAAGCUGGCUUGGAAAGUGGACUCGGCAGCGGUCGUCCAUGUCACGGACGACCGUACUGAUUUCAACGACUACAGACCGCUCACAGACGGCAUUGUCCUAGAAGGUAUGGUGGGUGCGGUUUGCAAGAGUGGGCACUGUUCUGCUAGAAGCUGAGGGAGAGAAUGCCAAGGUCAAAAUAACCCUGAAGAAUGUGUAUCAUGCACCAGAAUUAGGCAACAAACUGAUUUCAGUAGGUAAACCAGGCUUGAAGGGUUACCAUGUGGAUUUUCGUGGACCGGUUGCUGUGAUUAGGCAGCCAAAACGUGUUGUCUGUCAAAGACCAGGAAGCCAUCUAGUAUUUUCUCCGUAGAUGAGGACUUGCUGCAUUCCCAGAUGGAGGAAAAGACGCAAGGGUAUGCUUGGCCUUCACACAUGGCUCACAAAUACUCUUAUUCUUCACCUUCUCCCGGACUUCAGCCACGCUCAGGCCCAUACCAGUGACCAUUUCAACGGACACAAGCUUAUCUAGAUUACUGUACCCUAUGUGUCUGAACCGACAAUACCAAAGCCCCACAGAUUCAGACAGGACCGCCAGGGGUUGAAUGCACUCCCCCUGGCCCAACCGGGUCGCCCACACACGGGAUUUGCUCCCUGUACUCCCACUGCAGGCUUGUGUAUUUCCUCACUAGUGGAGAAAAUAUUAGAGGGUUUCCUGGGCACUGGGUUUCCACAAGACGUUAUGGCUGCCUAAUCACAGCAACCGGUCCACGAAAGUCCACAUGGUAACCCUUCAGGCCUAGUUCGCCUACCAAAAUCAGUUUGUGACCUAAUCCCGGUGCACGGUAAACAUCCUUCAGGGUUAUCUUGAUCUUGCCCUUCUCUCCCUCGGUUUCUAGCAGAACGGUGCUCACUCCAACCGUCUUGCAAACCGCAUCCACCACACCUUCUAGGAUGAUGCUGUCCGUGAGCAGUCUGUAGUCGUUGAAGUCGGACCUGUCAUCCAUGACAUGGACGGCUGCUGCUGAGUCCAUUUUCCAAGCCAGCUUGGCGAGCGACUUCUCAGCUGCUGACUUGAUUUCCUCGGCUUUGGAGGUGGUGGAGGUGGAUAGGGCCAUUACCAGCUGCUUGCUGCGUCGAUUGUUGCCCUUGUUAUUGCCCCUUGUGAUGAGUGGACACUGGGACUUGAUGUGCUCGAGAAUGCCACAUUUGUGGCACUUGUGGCUUGUGUAAGGGUUGAUCAAAACCUCAGGCCUGCUGGGGCUGGUACCCACCCCGAUGUUGACGUUUCCCUGACCUCUACCUGCUCCACCACGGUAGUCACCACCGAUGCCAUGGUGGCCUGCUGCACUGCUCCGGUUGUUGAACACCAGGGCCUCGACCUAGGCCCACUCUACAUUGGUAUCACCUUGCAUCCGCUCCACCAGGAGUAGAGCGGUCUUCAUUUCUGAAAGCUUCAGGUCGCUCGGCGGCUUGGCAGCAAAAAGCAUCUGCUGCAUUUGAAAUUUCUUCUGCAAACCGCCCAAGAUGGCCAGGGCGAAUCGGCAGUCGUCGAUCUUCGAGCCCACUGCAACCAUUUGCUCACGCAGAUCCUCUGCUUCCUCGAAGUAUUCAACAACGGACUGGCCUGUCCUUUGCUUCAGGUUGCUAAAUAUCUGCUUUAUGAACAAGAUGUUUGCUCUGAUCUCAGAGACGCAUUCGGCGCGGAUCGCAUCCCACGCUGCGGCAGAGUCGGCUGCUUGAUCGAUUAGCCUAUGAAAACGGGGCACCGUGUAUUUCACCAAUUGCGAUUUCGCCUUCAUAGACUUCUCGGCGACGGCGCUCGGCAUGUCUGCUGCUUCGUCCCACAAGUCCUUGCCGGCCAGGCAGUACUUCAUGGCCGUCCGCCAGCGAAAAUAAUUGGCGUAGCUGUCUAAGCGCUCUACAUCGUUAUCCUUCCCCAUACUUGUCCUAUCUCUAAGCCAGAGAGUUGCUAAGCCAGCAAGUUCGGACACAGUACUUAAGCAAAACGCUCGCUCGCUUGCCGCGGCGGCGCGGGGCUCAUAACCUGUUAAGAUAUAGGCGAGUGGAACUGUGUAGGUAAAGCCAACCUCAACCGUUACAGGUAUCACAGAACAAUCUUUCAGUCAGAACAUCAUCUCCUUUAUACCAAACAUUCCAUCUUAUCUGUCGUACAGCCGUUAGUGUUCUGGCCGGAUGCCAACAGUCUGCACCAUGGGGGAUUUUUUGUCGUACACAUCUGAACAGCUCGCUGGCAUGGUGUUCGGCGUGCAGCAAUUUCGCGCCAGGUGCCUGCGCGUCGGCGCGGCUUGCUGCGCUCAGGGCGGCGCGAGGGGGCGAUGAUGGUGACGGAAAAAAUGGCGGCGGUGACGCGGAGGCUUGGAAGGUUGCGGUGUCCGUGGUGGUGACGUUUUUCGGGGCGGUGAUGCUGACGGCCGUAGCUGUGUGGCUUUGGCAGCGACGGCGGCAUGGAGGCCAGGAAGGCGGCUUCGGAGGUUCACUCACCAACCUGCAGACUGCUGAGAUGGCGGAGUAUCAGAAACAUUCAAUUUAAUAAUGCAACGUGCUGUUAAGAACUGAAAAUAUUUUAAACAUAUCAAACUUAAGAAUGUUUAACUCGGGAUCGAACAGGCGACAAACCGCGAUAACCACUGAGAUUGGGUAAAGUAGGAAAAGCAGGACGCGGCUUGCACAAAAUUCAACGAGCACCCAACGUCCCAUGGGUAAACACAUGUGUGUGUGUGUGUUACAUGGUUGGGGGUGCAUGACCCCGUACCUG
rnacentral:lncRNA from 1 species